GAUGAACGCUGGCGGCGUGCUUAACACAUGCAAGUCGAACGAAGCACUUUAUUUGAUUUCCUUCGGGACUGAUUAUUUUGUGACUGAGUGGCGGACGGGUGAGUAACGCGUGGGUAACCUGCCUUGUACAGGGGGAUAACAGUUGGAAACGGCUGCUAAUACCGCAUAAGCGCACAGCAUCGCAUGAUGCAGUGUGAAAAACUCCGGUGGUAUAAGAUGGACCCGCGUUGGAUUAGUUAGUUGGUGAGGUAACGGCCCACCAAGGCGACGAUCCAUAGCCGACCUGAUAGGGAGACCGGCCACAUUGGGACUGAGACACGGCCCAAACUCCUACGGGAGGCAGCAGUGGGGAAUAUUGCACAAUGGGCGAAAGCCUGAUGCAGCGACGCCGCGUGAGCGAAGAAGUAUUUCGGUAUGUAAAGCUCUAUCAGCAGGGAAGAUAAUGACGUUACCUGACUAAGAAGCACCGGCUAAAUACGUG
rnacentral:rRNA from 1 species